AAUAGAUACCCGGGUAGUCCACGCCGUAAACGAUGGAUGCUAGCUGUUAUGAGUAUCGACCCUUGUAGUAGCGAAGCUAACGCGUUAAGCAUCCCGCCUGUGGAGUACGAGCGCAAGCUUAAAACAUAAAGGAAUUGACGGGGACCCGCACAAGCGGUGGAGCGUGUUGUUUAAUUCGAUGAUAAGCGAAGAACCUUACCAAGGCUUGACAUCCCUGGAAGGUCUCCGAAAGGAGACUGUGCCUUCGGGAAUCAGGUGACAGGUGAUGCAUGGCCGUCGUCAGCUCGUGUCGUGAGAUGUUUGGUUAAGUCCAUCAACGAGCGCAACCCUUAUAAAUAGUUGAAUUUUUCUAUUUAGACUGCCUCGGUAACGGGAGGAAGGAGGGGAUGACGUCAGGUCAGUAUUUCCCUUAUGCCUUGGGCUACAAACACGCUACAAUGGCCGGUACAAAGGGCAGCCAACCCGCGAGGGGGAGCAAAUCCCGAUCAAAACCGGUCCCAGUUCGGAUAGCAGGCUGAAACUCGCCUGCUUGAAGUCGGAAUCGCUAGUAAC
rnacentral:rRNA from 1 species